CAAGGCAAGGCAAGGCAAUUGGAAUGGAAAUCAAGUUGAAAGAAAUGUUUGAGUGGAGAUGAGACAGAGACAGAGAGAGUUGGUGAUGGUUGGAGUAGAGUAAGAGUGGAAGGCAAGGCAAGGCAAGGCAAGGCAAGGCAAGGCAAGGCAAGUCAAGUGAUAUUGAUUUGGAGAAAGUGAGAGAUGAACACAAUGUAAAGUUUUGUAAGGAGACAGGCAAGAUUUUGAGAGAGUAUUGGUGUUGGAAAGGCAAGGAGAGAUUGCAAAGUAAGUGAGAGUUGGUUGGUGAUGGUUGGAGUGGAGUAAUAUGUAUUGAGCUGUGUUUUUGAACUUGGAAAGUUGAAUGCAAGCAGGCUAGAAAAUAGAGAGAGAGUGAGAGUUUUGGAAAUAGGAGGCAUGGCAGAUUUGAGAGAGAGAGCACAUUGUUACUGGAGAGGAGGAGGAGAGGAGAGGAGAGGAGAGGUGAGGUGAGGUGAAGUCAAUUUUGUAGAAAAUUGAAUUUGUAUAGUUGAAGGCAGUCAGACUAUGUAAUAGAGAGAUUGUGAGAGACUGUGAAUCUUAAUGGAGUUUGGAAAGGAGGCAGUGUGAAGUUGUUUGAAAGCUUGAAAAAAGUGUAGGCGAGGCAAAGGUUGAAAAAAGUCUAAGUGUCAAAGUGAUGACCAUGGACGAAUUUUUUUGUAUUGACCUCGAGCGCUUGUUGCUGCAUAUAUUAUGGGGCAGGUGGUUGGUGAGAGAGUAUAUGAUAUAGGUAUACCUAUAUAAGUGAGAGUUGGUGAUGUUUGGAGUGGAGUAAUAUGUAUUGAGCUGGGUUUUUGAA